AGUUUUGACUGGGUUGUAGCUGGCCUUCCGAGGCAUGUGCACGCCCUGCUCAUCCACUCUACACCUGUGCACUUACUGUGGGCUUCAGAUCGUAAAACGGGUCCCUUUACCGGGCUUGCGGAGCGUGUCUGUGCCUGCGUUUAUCACAAACUCUAUAAAGUAUCAGAAUGUGUAUUGCGAUGUAACGCAUCUAUAUACAACUUUCAGCAACGGAUCUCUUGGCUCUCGCAUCGAUGAAGAACGCAGCGAAAUGCGAUAAGUAAUGUGAAUUGCAGAAUUCAGUGAAUCAUCGAAUCUUUGAACGCACCUUGCGCUCCUUGGUAUUCCGAGGAGCAUGCCUGUUUGAGUGUCAUGAAAUCUUCAACCUGCAAGCUUUUGUGGUUUGUAGGCUUGGACUUGGAGGCUUGUCGGCCGUUGUUGGUCGGCUCCUCUUAAAUGCAUUAGCUUGGUUCCUUGCGGAUCGGCUCUCAGUGUGAUAACGUCUACGCUGCGACCGUGAAGCGUUUGGCGAGCUUCUAACCGUCUCAGUUGGAGACAACUUUAUGACCUCUGACCUCAAAUCAGGUAGGACUACCCGCUGAACUUAAGCAUAUCAA
rnacentral:rRNA from 1 species